rnacentral:rRNA from 1 species
AUUGAACGCUGGCGGCAGGCCUAACACAUGCAAGUCGAGCGAACCUAGCUUGCUAGGUGAGCGGCGAACGGGUGAGUAACGCGUAGGAAUCUGCCUGGUAGUGGGGGACAACGUUCCGAAAGGAACGCUAAUACCGCAUACGCCCUACGGGGGAAAGCAGGGGAUCUUCGGACCUUGCGCUAUCAGAUGAGCCUGCGUCGGAUUAGCUAGUUGGUAGGGUAAAGGCCUACCAAGGCGACGAUCCGUAACUGGUCUGAGAGGAUGAUCAGUCACACCGGAACUGAGACACGGUCCGGACUCCUACGGGUGGCAG